rnacentral:rRNA from 1 species
GACGUAGGGGGCAAGCGUUGUCCGGAAUCAUUGGGCGUAAAGCGCUCGUAGGUGGAUCGGUAAGUCUGCAAAGAAAGACCCGGGCUCAACUCGGGGAACGGUGUGGAUACUACCGAUCUUGAGGCAAUCAGAGGAUGAUGGAAUUCUCGGUGUAGAGGUGAAAUUCGUAGAUAUCGAGAGGAACACCGGUGGCGAAGGCGGCCUUCUGGACAGUGACUGACGCUGAGACACGAAAGCGUGGGGAGCAAACAGG